rnacentral:rRNA from 1 species
GAUGAACGCUAGCGGCAGGCUUAACACAUGCAAGUCGAGGGGCAGCAUGAGACGGAGAUUCGUCGAAGUCUUGAUGGCGACCGGCGCAAGGGUGCGUAACGCGUGAGCAACUUGCCCGUUUCUGGGAAAUAACCGGUGGAAACGCCGACUAAUACCCCAUAGUAUUGAGUUUAGGCAUCUUUACUCAAUUAAAGAAUUUCGGAAACGGAUAGGCUCGCGUGACAUUAGCUGGAUGGCGGGGUAACGGCCCACCAUGGCUACGAUGUCUAGGGGUUCUGAGAGGAAGGUCCCCCACACUGGAACUGAGACACGGUCCAGACUCCUACGGGAGGCAGCAGUGAGGAAUAUUGGUCAAUGGUCUGACGACUGAACCAGCCAUGCCGCGUGAAGGUCACGGCCCUAUGGGUCUUAAACUUCUUUUGUAAGGGAGCAAUAAGGUUCACGUGUGGACUGAUGAGAGUACCUUACGAAUAAGCAUCGGCUAACUCCGUGCCAGCAGCCG